rnacentral:tRNA from 1 species
GGGGAUUUAGCUCAGUGGUAGAGCGCUUGCCUAGCAAGCUCAAGACCCUGGGUUCGAUCCCCAGCUCCG